rnacentral:rRNA from 1 species
GGAGUUCGACUAAGCCAUGCAAGUUCUACCUCUGGACUUCCAGGGGUGGCACACUGCUGAGUAACACGUAGUCAAUCUACCCUAAGGAAGGGGACAACCUCGGGAAACUGAGGACAAUACCCUAUAUUCCACCUAUGCUGGAAUGCUUGGUGGUUUAAAUGGGCGGUGAAUUGGAGCCGUUCCGCCUUAGACGAGACUGCGGGGGAUUAUGGUAGUUGGUAGGUAACGGCCUACCAAGCCGAUAAUCUCUAGGGCCAUGAGAGUGGUGGCCCCCAAAGGCACUGAACAAGGCCCUAUCCUACGGGAUGCACAGCGCGAAACCUCUACAAUGCCCGAAAGGGUGAUAGGGAACUCCGAGUGGCGUCAACUAAUUGGCGUCUUUUGCCAAGUGUACAAAGCUU